rfam:Trichuris suis scaffold54.4, whole genome shotgun sequence.
UACUUCAAAAUCGGAUGAUUGUGGGUCCAGUCCAUGUAGACUUUGUUUCAUGACUAGAUCCACACUCAUCCGGCCGUGAAGCC